CUCGGAUUAGGUAGGAAUACCCGCUGAACUUAAGCAUAUCAAUAAGCGGAGGAAAAGAAACCAACAGGGAUUGCCCUAGUAACGGCGAGUGAAGCGGCAACAGCUCAAAUUUGAAAUCUGGCCCUAGCGGUCCGAGUUGUAAUUUGUAGAGGAUGCUUUUGGUUAGGUGCCUUCUGAGUUCCCUGGAACGGGACGCCAGAGAGGGUGAGAGCCCCGUACGGUUGGACACCGAGCCUCUAUAUAGCUCCUUCGACGAGUCGAGUAGUUUGGGAAUGCUGCUCUAAAUGGGAGGUAAAUUUCUUCUAAAGCUAAAUACCGGCCAGAGACCGAUAGCGCACAAGUAGAGUGAUCGAAAGAUGAAAAGUACUUUGAAAAGAGGGUUAAAUAGCACGUGAAAUUGUUGAAAGGGAAGCGUUUGCGACCAGACUUUUUCCAGGCGGAUCAUCCGGUGUUCUCACCGGUGCACUUCGCCUGGUUUAGGCCAGCAUCGGUUCUCUUAGGGGGAUAAAGGCCUGGGGAACGUAGCUCCUUCGGGAGUGUUAUAGCCCCUAGCGUAAUACCCUUCGGGGGACCGAGGAACGCGC
rnacentral:rRNA from 1 species